UGCCAGCCGCCGCGGUAAUACGAAUGGGGCGAGCGUUGUUCGGAAUCACUGGGCGUAAAGCGUAUGUAGGCGGAUUUGAAAGUCAGAAGUGAAAUCCCAGGGCUCAACCCUGGAACUGCUUUUGAAACUUCAAAUCUCGAGUCCCGGAGAGGUUGGCGGAAUUCCUAGUGUAGAGGUGAAAUUCGCAGAUAUUAGGAGGAACACCAGUGGCGUAGGCGGCCAACUGGACGGGUACUGACGCUGAGAUACGAAAGCGUGGGGAGCAAACAGGAUUAGAUA
rnacentral:rRNA from 1 species